rnacentral:rRNA from 1 species
UACGGAGGGUGCGAGCGUUGUCCGGAAUCACUGGGCGUAAAGGGCGCGUAGGCGGCGCGAGCAGUCGGCGGUGAAAGCCCGGAGCUCAACUCCGGGUCGGCCGUCGAUACUCUCGUGCUUGAGCACUGUAGAGGCAGGUGGAAUUCCGGGUGUAGCGGUGGAAUGCGUAGAGAUCCGGAAGAACACCGGUGGCGAGGGCGGCCUGACUGGGCGAGUAGCUGACGCUGAUGCGCGACAGCGUGGGGAGCAACAGGAUUAGAAACCCGUGG